rnacentral:rRNA from 1 species
UCAGGAAUUUUGGGCAAUGGGCGAAAGCCUGACCCAGCAACGCCGCGUGAAGGAUGAAGUAUUUCGGUAUGUAAACUUCGAAAGAAUAGGAAGAAUAAAUGACGGUACUAUUUAUAAGGUCCGGCUAACUACGUGCCAGCAGCCGCGGUAAUACGUAGGGACCAAGCGUUGUUCGGAUUUACUGGGCGUAAAGGGCGCGUAGGCGGCAUGACAAGUCACUUGUGAAAUCUCUGGGCUUAACCCAGAACGGCCAAGUGAUACUGUCGCGCUAGAGUGCAGAAGGGGCAAUCGGAAUUCUUGGUGUAGCGGUGAAAUGCGUAGAUAUCAAGAGGAACACCUGAGGUGAAGACGGGUUGCUGGGCUGACACUGACGCUGAGGCGCGAAAGCCAGGGGAGCAAACGGGAUUAGAUACCCGAGUAGUCCCUGAGCGGGCUGGCAAGGCGCAU